UACAGAGGGUGCUAGCGUUGUUCGGAAUCAUUGGGCGUAAAGGGCGUGUAGGCGGUUUGUUAAGUCAUGUGUGAAAUCCCUCGGCUCAACCGGGGAACGACGCAUGAAACUGGCAAGCUAGAGUACCAAAGAGGGGGUGGAAUUCCCGGUGUAGCGGUGGAAAUGCGUAGAUAUCGGGAAGAACACCCGUGGCGAAGGCGGCUCUCUGGGACGGUACUGACGGCUGAGACGCGAAAGCGUGGGGAGCGAACAGG
rnacentral:rRNA from 1 species